AGUUAUUUUAUUUCGUACGUAGCGUUUGCAUUUAAUUUUCUCAGAUGCAGAAUUUUUGGAAAUUUGUUUUUGUGCAGAAAAUGAAUCCUGGGCACUCGAGAGUGAGAAUCCGUAGCAACGACAUGAAUUUGGAUCUAUAUGGACUGAUGUAAGACAUUUGUUAUAUAGCUUGGUUAAUUCUUUGAGUACUUUUUUCAAUACAGCCAAGAUUGCUUCACUUGCAGAUUUAAGAGCAGAGAAAUAUGUUACUGAAAGAAUGGUACAUCCUUUCUCAUUAGUUCUUAUUGAUUUGCCAGAGUAUCUUUUUGCUGCCAUUCUCAAAAGACAACUAAAAAUUUCCGCCAAUAAUUGUUCUAAUUUCUCGUUUAAAGAAAUUUCUUUUGCUCUUAAGUCAUUUAAUCUACUAAUUUCUAGAUUCGAUGAGUGGGUCUGCUCAUUAAUAGUUUUCUCUAAGCCUACACUUUUACCAUGAAUUUCAAAUAAUGUAAGCAUUGUAUUUUCAAGUAAUUUUAACAAUUUUUGUAAUUCACCUUUACUACAUUUUUUGUUCACGGAUAAAUCUAAACCAACUCCAUUACUCGUCAUGAAAUCGCUAAGAACAGUUGAUCCUCUUCCCUGGAGAACUCCAAACUGAGGCUUUUGAGCAUCUUGUUGAGGCAGAGCUACAGGUUCACCUUCAGAUCCAGUUUCUAAACUUGCUGCAUUUAAGAAUGAUACUUCCAAAAUAAAGUUCUUUACAAAGUUAUUUGAAGUAGAGCUAACGGUAAAAAGCAAAACAAGAAGGAAAUUUAUUAUACUUGAACUCAUGAGCAUUUUAAUAUAAAUAAAAGAUAAACUGUUAAGCAACUUCGCAGAAUUUAUGUUACACUAAGCAAUAACACUGAAUAUAUAUUCGAAUUUAAUCAAAAC
rnacentral:antisense_RNA from 1 species